rnacentral:tRNA from 1 species
GGUCCGUUGGUCAAGGGGUUAAGACACCGCCUUUUCACGUCGGUAACACGGGUUCGAAUCCCGUACGGACUA